rnacentral:misc_RNA from 1 species
GAAUAAACCUGAUGGGUUGUUGCUGGCUUCUAGGAGCAUGUGCACGCCUGUCAUCUUUAUCCAUCCACCUGUGCACCCUUUGUAGUCUUUGGAGGUAAUGAGCCGUGAAACUUGUCGAGGAUUCAUUUCUUCGUAUGAGGCCUGCCACGCGUGAGUGUGGCUGACCUUGAUAUCACGCGCGUGUUUCUCCAAGACUAUGUCUUUCAUAUACCACAUGAAUGUAUCAGAAUGUUGUCAUUAGGUCUUUGUGCCUAUAUAAUACAAUACAACUUUCAGCAACGGAUCUCUUGGCUCU